rnacentral:rRNA from 1 species
UACGUAGGCGCAAGCGUUGUCCGGAAUUAUUGGGCGUAAAGAGCUCGUAGGCGGUCUGUCGCGUCUGUUGUGAAAACUCGAGGCUCAACCUCGGGCUUGCAGUGGAUACGGGCAGACUAGAGUGCGGUAGGGGAGACUGGAAUUCCUGGUGUAGCGGUGGAAUGCGCAGAUAUCAGGAGGAACACCGAUGGCGAAGGCAGGUCUCUGGGCCGAUACUGACGCUGAGGAGCGAAAGCGUGGGUAGCAAACAGG